rnacentral:lncRNA from 1 species
CUCAGAAAUAUCCUUCAUCUAAUCUUUCUUUUUAUUAUUUUUCCCUACCCUAGGACGAUUGAAGUGUUUUGGUUUGGUUGGAAGACUGUACUAGAUUGCCAGAGGGAAUUCAGAGAAAACCAGAAUACUUUCCCAAAGAGAAGGCAAUCAUUAAAAAUUUGACCACCUGCAACUGGAAAGACAUCAAUCAGAUCUCAUUUGGAUUGCCAUCCUUGGGCUUCUCCACUGCAACUCAGAGAGUCCUGUGCCAUUCCUGCUUUGGGGACAUGGGCAG